UGCUCAAAACUUUCACUAGCUCACAAGUUCCUUCAUCCCACAGGUAGAAAUGAAGUGCUUCAUAGGUAAGAACUCAAGAUCAGAUUUCCUACUUCAUUUUGAGUAAAACAACUCUUCAUCUUAUAAAUCUUUACAUUCGAAACCUUUCCAGUAGUCGAGCCAAAAAUCAGAGCAGCCACACCUUCCAAAAUUCAGCAACUCAAAUAAAAAACUCUUAAAGGUUUCAUCUUUAACUCCUUACUUCUUUCAAUUCAUGGCAUGAUCAAUAUAUGAAAUUUUACAACUAUCCAGCAAGAACACACAUUCAUACUUUCACUGAAUUCAUUUGACCAAAUUUUUAUACAAAAAUACAUGUGUAUAAGAUCUGUGUAUGUAUAGAUAUAAAGCAUGAUUAAUUUUAUUUUUACAAAAAGAAAAGAAGAAGAAAGAAGAGCCUUGAGCUUCGUUGCUGUCGAGUUGAGUCUUGGUGUGGUGAGUGUUUUCUGUCGGCCGAGUCGGAGCUCGACGGCGACGGCGGCGGCGGCCUAGCUGCUGCUGCCUUGCCACGGUCAGAUAGGGAAGGGAGAUAGACUCUCUGCUGGGCGUGUGUUUUGUAGAGUCGAGAGUGGAGGGAGUCAGGGCACGG
rnacentral:lncRNA from 1 species